GACGAACGCUGGCGGCGUGCUUAACACAUGCAAGUCGAACGAAGAGCGAUGGAAGCUUGCUUCUCUCAAUCUUAGUGGCGAACGGGUGAGUAACGCGUAAUCAACCUGCCCUUCAGAGGGGGACAACAGUUGGAAACGACUGCUAAUACCGCAUACGAUCUAACCUCGGCAUCGAGGAUGGAUGAAAGGUGGCCUCUAUUUAUAAGCUAUCACUGAAGGAGGGGAUUGCGUCUGAUUAGCUAGUUGGAGGGGUAACGGCCCACCAAGGCGAUGAUCAGUAGCCGGUCUGAGAGGAUGAACGGCCACAUUGGGACUGAGACACGGCCCAGACUCCUACGGGAGGCAGCAGUGGGGAAUCUUCCGCAAUGGACGAAAGUCUGACGGAGCAACGCCGCGUGAGUGAUGACGGCCUUCGGGUUGUAAAGCUCUGUUAAUCGGGACGAAAGGCCUUCUUGCGAAUAGUUAGAAGGAUUGACGGUACCGGAAUAGAAAGCCACGGCUAACUACGUG
rnacentral:rRNA from 1 species